rnacentral:tRNA from 1 species
GGAUUUUAAGUUACUUUAAACUAUAUACCUUCAAAGUAUAAAACAAUCUUAUGAUUAAAUCUU